UACGUAGGGUGCGAGCGUUGUUCGGAAUUAUUGGGCGUAAAGAGCUUGUAGGCGGUUUGUCGCGUCUGCUGUGAAAAUCCGGGGCUCAACCCCGGACUUGCAGUGGGUACGGGCAGGCUAGAGUGUGGUAGGGGAGACUGGAAUUCCUGGUGUAGCGGUGAAAUGCGCAGAUAUCAGGAGGAACACCGAUGGCGAAGGCAGGUCUCUGGGCCACUACUGACGCUGAGGAGCGAAAGCGUGGGGAGCGAACAGG
rnacentral:rRNA from 1 species